AGCUGGGUGUGGGGUCGCGGAGACCUAGGGGCGUCUCGGAGGUCGCCCGGGAGAGGGGUUCGGUUGGUUCGGUUCCUCCUGGUGCGGGGAAGGCCGAGCUGCGGGCGCAGCUCGCCGGGGUCGUUAACCGGUAGACUUCAUGUGUCCACAAGGACCCUGGCCCGGAGAGCCCGUCCCGGGUCCGCGCCGCCGCUUCCCGUGGACGCGCGGGGCGGUGGAGCCACGGCGGUGCGGUCACGGCUCCCCCGAGGGGACGCUCGGCGCCUCCCGACCCAGAUGAGAACCCCUGCGGGGCCAGCGGGCCGGCAGCGAGCGGGACGGGCUCGUCCGGAGCCGGCAGGAAGGGGACACCCCGGUUUGGAGUGGGCCCUGCCUGCGGGCCCAGUGGGACCGGCUUCUGGAGCGAAGUGAAUCAUUGACAAAAAAUAUGAAGUUCUAAAAGCCACGGUUGGACUUCCCUGGUGGCGCAGUGGUUAAGAAUCCGCCUGCCAAUGCGGGGGACACAGGUUCGAGCCCUGGUCCGGGAAGAUCCCACGUGCCGUGGAGCAACUAAGCCCAUGCGCCACAACUACUGAGCCUACAUUCUAGAGCCUGUGAGCCACAACUACGGAGCCUGCAUGCCACAACUACUGAAGCCUGCGCUCCUAGAGCCCGUGCUCUGCCACAAGAGAAGCCACCGCAAUGAGAAGCCCGGGCACCGCAAUGAAGAGUAGCACCCGCUCACCGCAACUAGAGAAAGCCCGCGCACAGCAAGAAAGAUCCAACACAGCCUAAAUAAAUAAAU